rnacentral:lncRNA from 1 species
UAAAAUUAAGGGAAUGAGCAGUGAAUAAAGUAAUAAACAAGACAAUAUCGUGUUACAGACCACCGCAGGACAAACCAUUUCAUGAAGCUAUGAUGCCUGUGAUGUCUUAAAUCUUUCUGAAAAGUGGAGAUCCUUUUCAGUGAGUGCUGCUCUCCCGGGCUCAGACUCUGCUCCUGCUGAGUAAGGCUGCACUCRCUGACUUGCACCUUUGGUAUGAACGAGGCUGUUCCUGGAGCAAGGCUUGGUACCACAUCCUACUGUUCCCAGUACAAAGUGCCACCAAAUCUACAGGCAACAUUCUCAUUCCUGCCAGAUGCCUUUCUAU